AUGUUAAAAGACCGACACCCGUAUUUAGAACAUUGUUUUAAAAAUAUCUAUUCAGACUAUAAAAGGCGGAUCACCGGACUUUGGAUGUCAUUCCCCGUCGCUACAUUCCUGCUCGUGAGAAUGCUAGUACCCUCGUCCUCAGAUCAACCGGUAAUCACCGAGGCUCGAAGUCCCAAAAUAUCUACGCAUGGUCUAACUGCAAACUUCCCUGACCGAAUGGCUUUGAGCAGGCUGAUACAGAAAAGCGGAGACAGAGUAAAAAAGCAGGGCAGCCCUACAGUCUCUGGUCGUGCGUCAGGAUGGAGAAAGCAGGUCAGUUCGACGUGCGUUGUCUUUCUGUUCUGUCGGAGACUAAAAUAUUUGGUGUUGCCAUUCAGGAUUCAGGGAGCCGGCUCAAAAGAGAUGUGGGUUGGUUGGGUCGUAGUGUUAGGAUGGGUGAAGGGUUUGGGAGUGGAAAGGUGGCAGUUGGAGAGGAGGGGGAGAGUACACAGAGUUACAAAUGUGAGCCAGCUGAUAGAAAGAGCCCGCCAAAUCAGGGGGACUUUACGCAACUGGGGAGGCGCGCCACACGAUUCACCUCACUGCAUAGAGUCUCUCUCACUGUCUGCGCGCGCCGGUGUGUGUAUGUGUGUCUUUGUGUGUGAAUGACUUCCAGACAGAGACGGAAAGCAUGAAUGGGGCAGGAGAAGCGCGACCGAAGAGUCCGCGCUAUUAUCGGCGCAAACCCGCGUGGGAAGGACUACAUCGGGCACAAUUAAAAAGGCUCGCGGAACAAGCGAAGCGAAAGCUGCUGGCGGGAAGGUACUGGGAAUUCAUUUAAAAAUAAAAAUAAAAAUGAAAAACAGCAGGAGAGAACCAUUCAUGACACAACACAGGGAAUGGCUUUGGAAAAGUGUCUCGACGACACACACGAACCACCUCUCUCUCUCUCUCUCUCUCUCUCUCUCUCUCUCUCUCUCUCUCUCUUAUUGUGUUUGUCUCUCUAUCUGUGUCUCUCCCUCUCCCUGGUCCUCUUCUCCAGCAGUGUGCUAUUGACCUGCAUUGACGUCAUUGCGUCAUUAGGUUUCCCUUAGAAACACUGACUUUCAAAAAUAGUAUCAAAUUAAUUCAGCUGGCAAGGAGAGAGGGGUGGGGCUUAUGAGUGUUUGGGGUUGGGGUGAACGGGGUUUGUGGGUAGGUAUGGGUGAGGAGUGGGGGAUGGCAGGUUUUAUUCUGGGAUUUUACCCCCCCCCCAAUCUCCCCGCACCACCACCAUUUCCAAGCCGACUGGGGUGGAGCGCUAGAUCAGACACAUCGAUAUCUGAAGCCUAAAGACCCAGUCCCAAUAGCAGGUCCCACCGGAGAGGCAACAAUACAAAAAUAACUCUAAUUUAAUUUCACUUAUGCAUAUUAGUUACUGUUGCCAAAGCAAAUGAUGAAAAUAAAGAAAAUUAAUGUAAUGAUAAGAAAAGAGGUCAAAAUGGGGUUGUCUCUUUCUGGCUCUUCCAGUCUAAAAAUAUCCUCCAGCCUCUAGCUGACUACGUUGGAAAACCUUUUCUCCAUUUAACCCCUGGCUCUUAAAGACAAGGAGCCAGAACACCAUGCAGAGAGAGAAGCAGACAGACGGGAGGCAGAGAGAAACUGUGGUUCUACAAGUUGUUGGGAUCCUGGGUUCUUUAGGGAUUUUUAGAUAAUAUAGCAGAUCUGUAAUGGCCUCAAAAUACCCUUUGAUUCCUUCAAAUACAACAGACAAAUCAAUAAGCAGAACACAGCAUUGUUCUUGAUUAAAAUAUGUUUAUCACUGCUGCUUUAACAUUUUUUUUAAAUGGUUAAAGGAGUGGAGAGUAUUGGAAGUGUAGGAAGGAAGUGUAUUUUGAUUUAGAGGAAGAAUUCACUGUUUAUUUGGGGUUUGCCUCCAGGAGCUGUCCUUGGUGCUGAAAUGUCAUUACAAGCUGAACUCUCAUGAUUUUACUGUUUUUCCUCUAAAUCUAUUGUCCACAUAAUUUAUACAGUGCAAUACAAUACUGCCAAACUCUUAGUUACACAUUGUCAUGUCUGAUUUUCUGCUCUGCGUCUUACUCACCUGUCAUUUUAGAUCCAGCAACUCCCCUCCUUCCCUGCAGUAACCCCUUUUCCCCUUUUCAUUCCCCAUCACCUGACCUCCCCCCGCCCACCUACUUACCUGUCCCUACUUUCUCCAUCAGUUCAGUAUAAAUUCCAGCCUGUGCCAGAUUGUCUAUUACACAUUAGCUUUCCUGCCUUCUGUUCUGCCUUCCUUUGCCCUCUGUCUUACCACUCUGGAUAAGUUUGCCCGAUUUAUCUGCUUUCCUGGUUGCAUUUGCCUGAUUUUUGAUUAUGAUUAAAGGUGAACUGUGUACCUGUCUGUCUCUGAGUGGUGAAUCUGGGUCCAAGCCUGUUUCUCUGCUGAGCCAUUACACAGUGUUAUUGUAAAGCACUUUUUGACUGGUCUCAGUAAAAUAGUAUUACUGCUAUUAUUUUGACAGGCCUCUGACUCAUCAGGAAAACAUUGUGACUGAUAAUUGGUAAUGGACUGAUGAAGCAAAGUGGUAAUACACUCAAUCCAAAUCACUGCAGAGCUGCAAUUACACAUCUUAUUCACAAACUAUAGGAGAUCAUUAUUAUAUAUUUAUUAUACUGUUAUAAAGUAUACACAGUGGAAACCAUGCAUCUCCAAAUUUGGUGAUUUUCCAUUUUUGAAAGGAAAAAAUUCAAAGCAACCCUUAGAAUAGCAGAUUAUUUUUUUAAUCCGUCUGGUGUUUAGAGUUUAUUCAAAUACAGCAAUGUAUUUAAGUGAUCAGGAGACCACUGUCAGCACUUACCCAUUGUGUUUCCACUGAAGAAUCUGGAGGGAAAGCUUUCCAGUUCUGACACUGACCUUUGAUCUACCUGUGGAGUUAACAAAGCAAAUACGGAAUUUUCCAGUAAACAUCAGCAGAAAAUUCAAUACAAAUUUUACACUUAGUAUUCUCCUGUCUGUAGAAAGUCAUUUCAAUUAUGGUGAAGACAUUUUGCAGAAUUAUAGGUUGUCAUCUGUAUAUCUAAAAUGUAUGAGCAACAUCAGUCAUUCCUGUCUUUAAUUUAAUACAACUAAGAGACAUGUUGUUUUGGAAAAUAGCUGCCUGCACCCUUCUCCAAGACACACAUUGUCAUUGAUGCAUGCAUAGCUACAAAACACUCACUCACACUCACACUCACACACACACACACACACACACACACACACACGCCACACACACACACACACACACACACACACACACACACACACACAAACAUGCAGAUGUUAGCUACUGAUUUGGAACCUGUCCACCUGUUUACGAAUUUUCAAACCAGCUCCUGUGAAAAGUUGCCCAACCUACUUUAGUCACUGAGUUGCCAUUUGUUUUUUCUUCUCCAGGCAUGCAGAAAGUGAGACUGUGACUUCUAUGUGCGAUACAUGAAGAGAGAAGAAGAAGAAAAGGGUGAAGAACAGAGAAGACGAUAUAUACAGAGAGGGAGGGAGAGAUGCAAGCGGAGAGACUGUGGCAAAAAUACUUCACCAUUAGGACUGAAUUAAGCCUUAUGAUUCAUCUUCUUGAAUUGAGAGACACACAUUUCAAAUAUCGUAGGAUGCUUCAUCUCAUGUCUGGUAGCCAUUUAGCACUACACCUUUCAGGGUUCUUGCUGUGAGAAUUGUGUGCCAAAAACACUAAAAAAAACUGUGUGCGAGUGCUGUUUGGUAGGAGUAAGUGUGUGAUCAACAACAGUGAGGAAAGAUACUCCAUCUAUGCUGAAUACAUGAAUGUACCACUAACCUGACCAGGUUGGUCUGACUGAAAGCUGGCAGGUUGAAGAGGGUGUCUGUGAGGGAUUUAACCAAAUGCCUGGCCUACUGAAGCACCCUUGAAGAAGUCCUACUACUUCAAAGAGGCCCUGAAACUGCUGCUGACCUCUGACCUCACAGGAAUCAAUAAGGGAAUUAAUAAAUGAGGGCAAAAAAUUAGAAAAACAAACUAAACAAUAACAACUAAACAAGUGUUGCAUGUGCAGGCAUAAAUCGUGGGAAUGUGUGAUAGCAGGAUAAGGCGUGGACCCACAUGGGGAGAAAUGUAUCAUAGAAGACGUCACCAGCACCAAUGGAAGUCACGCAGCAUUCAGGGGUCAGUGCCAACGCUGACGACAGAGUUAGAGAGACAGACAGAGAUCCUGGGUGUGACUAAGGCACUCCGACCAUUGAAAAACAGCGUGCUGUCCUCCUCUCCUCCUCCAUAAUAACAUAAACACACGAGUCAGUCAGCCUGUUUGAGCGGAAAUGUUAGUCUUGAUAACAAAAUAAAUAAAUGAGAAUGUCUCCCCUUCUAUACGGCCUAUUGAGCUUCAACCCUCUGCCUUGCCCUUUUUUUAAGCAUGUCAAUACAAUAAUAAUACCUUCCAAAACAUUUGCCUUGGGUGUAUCAUGGCCCCCGUCUUUUCCACUUGGUUCCCUGCUUGUGUCUAUGUGUCUGUUGUAUACACACAGGUCAUUUUAAUUUGUGUGAUGUCCCCUCCCAUCUGCCUUGUGGCUUUCCAUUCCGACUUGUAGGCUGCGUCUUUCUAGGAAACAGUGGGUGUUUUGGGCUGAUGUUUACUAUUGGGCCCCAGCAGAUGAAGGCAGGCAUACACACAGAAAAGAGAGGGAUUCAUGGGAUCCUUUGCCAGGGUAAUGCUUUAUGUAUUGAACCAUUACAACUGAAGGAAGAAGCCAAAAAGAAGGGUACAAUAUCAGGGUUGUAGUUGGUUUAAUGUGUGAUUUUUUUUAAGGCCCUCCUAAUUUGUUUCCUCACUUACUGUCUUAAUAAACUGAUACCUCCCAUCCCUCUACUCUUUGGUUUACGCUUUUAAAAAAUGGUCACAAAAAUAUAAAAAGGAAUCCCCAAAGUAAAAGACACAUCUAAAAUAUAACUAUACAUUUAAAUUAGUUUUCUGGUUUAGCUUUACAGUAUAUGAUGGUUGAGAACUCAAAGCUAAAGCAAAGUCAGGAGAGAAGCUUGAAAAGAAGUCCAAAAGAACCUCGCCAGGUUUACUAUGUGGAAUCGUUUUCGUUGAGAGUGUGCACAGAGG
ensembl:lncRNA